CUGAAUCUGCCGGGACCAUCCGGUAAGGCUAAAUACUAACCAGACACCGAUAGUGAACUAGUACCGUGAGGGAAAGGUGAAAAGAACCCCGGGAGGGGAGUGAAAUAGAUUCUGAAACUACUUACUUACAAUUAGUCAGAGCACGUUAAUGUGUGAUGGCGUACAUCUUGCAGUAUGGACCGGCGAGUUAUGUUAACAUGCGAGGUUAAGUGGAUAAAAGCGGAGCCGAAGAGAAAUCGAGUCUGAAUAGGGCGAAUUAGUAUGUUGACAUAGACCCGAAACCAGGUGAUCUAUUCAUGAGCAGGUUGAAGCUUAGGUAAUACUAAGUGGAGGACCGAACCGUAGUACGCUGAAAAGUGCCCGGAUGACUUGUGAAUAGCGGUGAAAUUCCAAUCGAACCUGGAUAUAGCUGGUUCUCCUCGAAAUAGCUUUAGGGCUAGCGUGUGAUGUUAAACUUUGGUGGUAGAGCACUGAAUAUGGAAUGGCGGCGCCUAGCUGUACUGACUAUAAUCAAACUCCGAAUACCAUUGUGUAUUAUCAUGCAGUCGGAACAUCGGUGAUAACGUCGAUGCUCGCGAGGGUAACAACCCAGAUCGUCAGCUAAGGUCCCAAAAUUUAUGUUAAGUGAUAAAGGUUGUGAGGUUUCUCAAACAACUAGGAAGUUGGCUUAGAAGCAGCCAUCUUUUAAAGAGUGCGUAAUAGCUCACUAGUCAAGAGACCUUGCGCCGACAAUGUAACGGGACUAAACAUAAUACCGAAGCUACGGGCAUUAUUAAAUGCGUUAGAGGAGCGUUCUAAGGACGGCGAAGCUAAACCGUGAGGAUUAGUGGAGUGCUUAGAAGUGAGAAUGCCGGUAUGAGUAACGAUUCAGAGUGAGAAUCUCUGACGCCUAUUGGGAAAGGUUUCCUGGGGAAGGUUCGUCCACCCAGGGUUAGUCGGGUCCUAAGAUCAGGCUGAAAAGCGUAGUCGAUGGAUAACAGGUUAAUAUUCCUGUACUUCCGAUAGUAAGUGAUGGAGUGACGGAGAAGGAUAAUUCUACCAAUUAAUGGAUUUUGGGGCAAGGAAAUGAGGGGUCAAUGUAGGCAAAUCCGCAUUGUUUAACCUUGAGUUCUGAUGCAUAGGGAAAGUUUCGACAAUUACCGAAUUGAAUGAUUUCACGCUUCCAAGAAAAGCUUCUAAACGUUAUAAAACUAUAGGAACCCGUACCGAGAACGGACACACGUUCCCAAGAUGAGUAUUCUAAGGCGAGCGAGAAAACCAAUGUUAAGGAACUCUGCAAAUUCACCCCGUAAGUUCGCGAAA
rnacentral:rRNA from 1 species